rnacentral:rRNA from 1 species
AGAACGAACGCUGGCGGCGUGGAUAAGACAUGCAAGUCGAGCGCUGAUUACAGGGUAGCAAUAUUCUGUAGUUGGAGCGGCGCAAGGGUGCGUAACACGUGGGUAAUCUGCCAUGAAGUUCGGGAUAACUCGCUGAAAGGCGAGCUAAUACCGAAUGUGAAAAUUAGGAGGCAUCUUCCGAUUUUCAAAGCUGGGGACCGUAAGGCCUGGCGCUUCAUGAUGAGCCCGCGGCCUAUCAGCUAGUUGGUGAGGUAACGGCUCACCAAGGCUAAGACGGGUAGCUGGUCUGAGAGGACGACCAGCCACACUGGAACUGAGACACGGUCCAGACACCUACGGGUGGCAGCAGUCGAGAUUUUCAC